CUGGUUCUGCGGCAUAGGUGGCGUGCAAAAAGCACUUGACAGCCUCCUAGUGGCCAACAGACCAAAGACCAAUGUUUAAAAUGGCUUUAAUUGUGCUUUCAUUUGUACUUACCAAUAAGGCAUUCUUGUUUCUUUAACAACUGUUUAAGGAAGGCAUUCAACAUAAAGCAGACAUUCACAUACACAACUUUAUUCACAUAUUUUACAUUAGCAACAUAACAGCUAUGCUAAUUUGAAAACAAAAAAUUUGAGAACUGAAAAUGGACUAGUGCAUUUGUUGUAGCGGUACAUUGAUUAAAUGAGGACUCUGUAAACAGUGUCAUCAGGCAGCAUUUAAUAAACAUUGUGAAGCUGCACAACAAGUCUUUUUCAUGCACCAAAAUCCCCCCUGCAAUAUAUCUGAUCUAAAUUAUAAUUAACAUAUUUACACAAUGUUCACUGUAAGACAAGGGCUUCGUAUGUAAAUGUAAACAUGCUUUAACAGAGCACUCCAGUCACAUGAUCAUCUGUAAUCUCUUUCCACCUGGAAAGUCCCUCCUUACAAAUUAUUGGUUUAGCAGACACUAAGAGUGACAACCUAUUCUAGCCUAUUAAAACUGAGAUUGCGAUCAGUGAUGAAUUAUUUUGAUUUGGAUUGUGAUUGGCGGUGAUGCAGUUUGUCUGAGAAAGGUUGAGAUCAAUUUUAGAACCAGUGAGAUAACUUAAAGCCUGUUUGUUUUUGGAGAAACUUGGCAAAUUCAAUGGCGUGAUCAUGUGACUAACAGCAAACCUAUAAAAAAAGAACUCAAAUAUGAAUUUGAAAGUCCCUGAGCAAACUGCAAAACUGGCGAGUGCUAUAGAAGUGAGUUUGAAUUGUUAAUGUCUACCUAAGUGGUUUAAAAGAAAUAAAACCAAAUAAAUAUAAAUAUGUUAUUAGGAUACAAAGUUGUCUGAAUAUGAUUCAAGAUAUUAUUAUAGCAAAGGUGCACAAAUUAGAGCAAAGUUCCUAAGCAGGACAAAAAAAGUGUUUUCUUCUGAAAUAAUCGUCUUAAGUUCUGUUUUGUGGCCAUCUAGUGGCCAAAUAUAUUCACCGCAAACCAGAAACCUUGUUAGCAUAACCACAAAGCGAUGUGAUUUUAGUGCUACAUCCAAAAAUCUUCAAGUACUUUUUAGCAGUUUGUUCUUCAGCUCGGUUCAAUGAAUUAAAAGAUGCCUUGUUAUCUUUCCGGUCACCCCUCAUUCUCCUCAACCUCAGUGAAGAUGUCACUGAAAAAGUACUGGGACACGUUGAUGGGUUCCUCGUCUGUUGAGUAGCUGUCCACACAGGGAGAGGCACUGGGCUGGCCAUCUGGCCCCUGAGAAGGCUGGUCAAGAAAAAG
ensembl:lncRNA